rnacentral:rRNA from 1 species
GUCUGACGGAGCAACGCCGCGUGAGUGAUGAAGGUUUUCGGAUCGUAAAGCUCUGUUGUUAGGGAAGAACAAGUGCGAGAGUAACUGCUCGCACCUUGACGGUACCUAACCAGAAAGCCACGGCUAACUACGUGCCAGCAGCCGCGGUAAUACGUAGGUGGCAAGCGUUGUCCGGAAUUAUUGGGCGUAAAGGGCUCGCAGGCGGUUUCUUAAGUCUGAUGUGAAAGCCCCCGGCUCAACCGGGGAGGGUCAUUGGAAACUGGGAAACUUGAGUGCAGAAGAGGAGAGUGGAAUUCCACGUGUAGCGGUGAAAUGCGUAGAGAUGUGGAGGAACACCAGUGGCGAAGGCGACUCUCUGGUCUGUAACUGACGCUGAGGAGCGAAAGCGUGGGGAGCGAACAGGAUUAGAUACCC